AGCUCUAAUAGCAUAUAUUAAAGUUGUUGCAGUUAAAAAGCUCGUAGUUGGAUCUCGGGUCGUUGGUGGGGGUCCAGGGUGUUCAAAGCCCUGGUUUACUCCCAUCGAUGCCUGUACACUGUGGGUCUUAGUGGUGGGUGCCCUUGACUGGGUUGCCUACUGCUCCCACUCGAUUUACUUUGAAAAAAUUAGAGUGUUCAAAGCAGGCUUUGCUAUGCCUGAAUAAUGGUGCAUGGAAUAAUGGAAUAGGACCUCGGUUCUAUUGUGUUGGUUUUCGGAACCAGAGGUAAUGAUUAAGAGGGACAGACGUGGGCAUUCGUACUGCGGUGCUAGAGGUGAAAUUCUUGGACCAUCGCAAGACGAACUACUGCGAAAGCAUUUGCCAAGAAUGUUUUCA
rnacentral:rRNA from 1 species